GACGAACGCUGGCGGCAUGCCUAACACAUGCAAGUCGAACGAGACCUUCGGGUCUAGUGGCGCACGGGUGCGUAACGCGUGGGAACCUGCCCUUAGGUUCGGAAUAACUCCCCGAAAGGGGUGCUAAUACCGGAUAAUGUCUUCGGACCAAAGAUUUAUCGCCUUUGGAUGGGCCCGCGUUGGAUUAGCUAGUUGGUAGGGUAAAAGCCUACCAAGGCGACGAUCCAUAGCUGGUCUGAGAGGAUGAUCAGCCACACUGGGACUGAGACACGGCCCAGACUCCUACGGGAGGCAGCAGUGGGGAAUAUUGGACAAUGGGCGAAGGCCUGAUCCAGCAAUGCCGCGUGAGUGAUGAAGGCCUUAGGGUUGUAAAGCUCUUUUACCCGGGAUGAUAAUGACAGUACCGGGAGAAUAAGCUCCGGCUAACUCCGUG
rnacentral:rRNA from 1 species